rnacentral:lncRNA from 1 species
AGGCACUGGUGGGAGGAGAGAAACGAUGAACAACACUGGGGGGUAUGGACGGCACUGCGCAGAAGGCGUCUGAGGCUCUGCUCUCCCUCCCUUCUUUCUCCUCUCCCUCCCUUCCUUCCCUCCUUCCUCUGUCUCUUCUGAUUUCCUCUUUCCUUGUCUCCCUCCCUUGCUUCCCUUCCUAUUUCACUCCUUUCCUUCCUUCCUCCGUCUCCUGCCCAGCACCACUUUUUUUCUGUCCUUUCCUUCUCCUCUCUUCCAUCUUUCUCUCUUCUUUACUCCUCUUUCCUCCCAUCUGACCUUCCAUUCUGUCUGUGUUCUCUCUCCUUCCUGCCUUUCUCCCUCCCUUUCCUGCGUUUAUCCAGAGCACAACUUCCUGAGGAGCACAGACAAGCCAGACCCCCGUGGGGACAGAAGCCUGCCUGGGGACCACCGCCCGUCUCCAAAUCCCUCUCAUCAGGCCUUGCCCUUUCACUGGGCUCUCGGGCUUUUCAAGGAUUAUAAUGGAUGGAACCACAAGAUACACUGUUUUCACCGACUCACAGGGAAAGCCAUGAAUUGUCCUUUAUUUCAGGGACCAGAGGUAAUCUGUCCAGCGGAGGGGGAUCCAUUUGCCCGGAGUGAGGGCCACAAACACAGAUGGAGAGUUUCCUCCUAG